rnacentral:rRNA from 1 species
CCUACGGGAGGCUGCAGUGGGGAAUAUUGCACAAUGGGCGAAACCCUGAUGCAGCGACGCCGCGUGAGUGAAGACGUAUUUCGGUAUGUAAAGCUCUAUCAGCAGGGAAGAAGCAAGACGGUACCUGACUAAGAAGCCCCGGCUAACUACGUGCCAGCAGCCGCGGUAAUACGUAGGGGGCAAGCGUUAUCCGGAUUUACUGGGUGUAAAGGGAGCGUAGACGGUAUGGCAAGUCUGAAGUGAAAGCGUAGGGCUUAACCCUGGGACUGCUUUUGAAACUGUUAGACGUGAGUGCUGGAGAGGUAAGUGGAAUUCGUGGUGUAGCGGUGAAAUGCGUAGAUAUUAGGAAGAACACCAGUGGCGAAGGCGGCUUACUGGACAGUAACUGACGUUGAGGCUCGAAAGCGUGGGGAGCAAACAGGAUUAGAUACCCUUGUAGUC